rnacentral:rRNA from 1 species
UGAUCCUGCGCCGAAGAUUUCCGGGGCUAAAACUUACUACCGAAGCUACGGCAUCAGUAAUGAUGGGUAGGGGAGCUUCCCAUACGGGUUGAAGCAUGACCGUAAGGACAUGUGGACAGUAUGGGAGUGAGAAUGUUGGCAUGAGGAGCGAGAUGUGGGUGAGAAUCCCACAGGCCGUAAACCCAAGGUUUCCAGGGGAAGGU